UCCUAAGGUAGCGAAAUUCCUUGUCGGGUAAGUUCCGACCUGCACGAAUGGCGUAAUGAUGGCCAGGCUGUCUCCACCCGAGACUCAGUGAAAUUGAACUCGCUGUGAAGAUGCAGUGUACCCGCGGCAAGACGGAAAGACCCCGUGAACCUUUACUAUAGCUUGACACUGAACAUUGAGCCUUGAUGUGUAGGAUAGGUGGGAGGCUUUGAAGUGUGGACGCCAGUCUGCAUGGAGCCGACCUUGAAAUACCACCCUUUAAUGUUUGAUGUUCUAACGUUGACCCGUGAUCCGGGUUGCGGACAGUGUCUGGUGGGUAGUUUGACUGGGGCGGUCUCCUCCUAAAGAGUAACGGAGGAGCACGAAGGUUGGCUAAUCCUGGUCGGACAUCAGGAGGUUAGUGCAAUGGCAUAAGCCAGCUUGACUGCGAGCGUGACGGCGCGAGCAGGUGCGAAAGCAGGUCAUAGUGAUCCGGUGGUUCUGAAUGGAAGGGCCAUCGCUCAACGGAUAAAAGGUACUCCGGGGAUAACAGGCUGAUACCGCCCAAGAGUUCAUAUCGACGGCGGUGUUUGGCACCUCGAUGUCGGCUCAUCACAUCCUGGGGCUGAAGUAGGUCCCAAGGGUAUGGCUGUUCGCCAUUUAAAGUGGUACGCGAGCUGGGUUUAGAACGUCGUGAGACAGUUCGGUCCCUAUCUGCCGUGGGCGCUGGAGAACUGAGGGGGGCUGCUCCUAGUACGAGAGGACCGGAGUGGACGCAUCACUGGUGUUCGGGUUGUCAUGCCAAUGGCACUGCCCGGUAGCUAAAUGCGGAAGAGAUAAGUGCUGAAAGCAUCUAAGCACGAAACUUGCCCCGAGAUGAGUUCUCCCUGACUCCCUGAGAGUCCUGAAGGAACGUUGAAGACGACGACGUUGAUAGGCCGGGUGUGUAAGCGCAGCGAUGCGUUGAGCUAACCGGUACUAAUGAACCGUGAGGCUUAACCUU
rnacentral:rRNA from 1 species